AUGGCUGCUGGAGUGCAGGACGACGCGCUGUGGUACCCGGUUUCGAUCAGCCAGAUUGGCGAUGCGAUUCAGGUGGGCGAUUUGGCCGGGGUGGCACCUCCGCCACCACCGCCGCCGCCCCCCUCCCCGCCUUCUGCUGAUGAGGAUGGGGGUGGUGGCCGUCGGGAUGCAAACGGGGGCCCGCCGGCGCCGCCAUCCAGGGCCUCGCCGGACUCUUCUUUGGCGAACUCGGCCCCUCCGCCGCCGCGGCCGCAGCAGGGGGGUGGAAUUCGAAAUCGAGUGGACGGUCAACAUGACCAGGUGGACUGUACGGGGAUUGCUUCGGAUGAUACGGGUGACGCGACCCUGAUCGUGGGUGAGGUCAGCGUGGAACGCCCGUUGGGAGUGGAGCGUGCUCUAGGCGCUUCGAUAGGCAUGGAGGCUCCCUCAGUGGAAAGCAGGGUCGGCCCCACUGGUCACCAGAGAGGGGGCCGGGCAGGCUACGCGCCAAGGAUGCUGGUUCGGGAGGAUUCGGUGGCCUCGAUCAACCAACCGGAAGGGGAGAUCGCGCCGCCCCUGACGAUGAGUGGGCAGACAGUGCUGGGCCAGGGCGGGUCGUGUCUGCUGGUGGGGCCUAGCAGCCCUAUGGGCGCAGGAGAUUCGCCUGGGAUCAGAGUGGGCGAUUGGGAGCUACGCCUCUCCCAGGUGGAGGAAAGCCCGCUGCGGGGGCCAUGUGCACUGACCGAGGAGGAUCUUGACAGCGACAACUGUGGCAGCUCCGUGCUGGUGGAUUUGCCAGGUUUUUUGGAAUCUGUGGAGGGACUCGUGGGGCCCGAGCUGCAUGGGGAUGUGACACCGCCAUGCACGGAAGGCACUGGAUGGUUUUUGGUUAGCCUCUCUGAACAGCUUGAGGAAACAAAUCUGCCGCCCGUCCUGGCCGUGCCGAACCCGUCUCCUGAGGAUAGGGCGAUCCAGCUUUGCAAUGAACUCAGGGGCAACAUCACGCCGAUCCUGGAGCAGCCCACAUCCAGGGGCCUUGCGGUGAAGCGGAGAAGGCCGCGCCGGAAGAAGGCGCCUGUAACAACUCCCAGGCGCAACGUGCGACUUGCCAAAGGAGGCCGGGGCUCUCGGGCUUCAAAACAGCAAGCGGUCCUGAUCAAGAAGCUAUGUCUAGCGAACGAGGCAGAUCUGAUAAGCGAUGACACCCUGGAAGCAUACGCCAGGCUGUUCGACAAGCCGCUCAUGGACUGCCAUGUCAAGGCGAUUUUGGCUCUGUUUGGGUGGGAGGAAUCCAUCCUUCCUCUUCAAGGGGAUGAUGAUACGGUGGUCGAGGGACAUUAG
rnacentral:rRNA from 1 species